CAAGGUGUAGCUCAGUGGUAGAGUGCUUGCCUAGGACACAUCAAGCCCUGGGUUCAAUCCCCAGCACCAUUU
rfam:Ictidomys tridecemlineatus contig062359, whole genome shotgun sequence.